rnacentral:lncRNA from 1 species
GUCACAUGGGGUAUCUUUUCAGGCAUGGUGAAGGUUACAGCUUCAGGUGUCUUUAUGGGCAUUUUGGUCACAUCGGGUCUUUUUUCAGGGAUGGUGAAGGUUUCAGAUGCAGAGGCCUUUAUGGGUAUUUUAGUCAGAUCAGGUCUUUUUUCAGGAAUGGUGAAGGUUUCAGCUUCAGGUACCUUUAUGGGUAUUUUAGUCACAUCAGGUCUUUUUCCGGGCAUGGUGAAUGUUUUGGGUUCAGGUUCAGGUGUUGGGUUCAUUAUUGGGGCAGGUGUAUCUGUGUUGGUUAAUACCCGGGCAGAUGGAUCGGGCAGUUGUGAUUCAUCAGUGUUCAACUUCUCUCUCUUUUCA